GCAUAGACAGUGUCAGACACGAUUUUCUUGUAAAAAAUAAAUGUAUCGUUGGUUUUUCUCCACAAUGUAUCGUUGGUUUUUCUCCACA
rnacentral:tRNA from 1 species